rnacentral:rRNA from 1 species
GUCGAACGAUGAAACCGCCCUCGGGCGGACAUGAAGUGGCGAACGGGUGAGUAACACGUGACCAACCUGCCCCUUGCUCCGGGACAACCUUGGGAAACCGAGGCUAAUACCGGAUACUCCUCGCCCCCCUCCUGGGGGGCCCGGGAAAGCCCAGACGGAAAGGGAUGGGGUCGCGGCCCAUUAGGUAGAAGGCGGGGUAACGGCCCACCUAGCCCGCGAUGGGUAGCCGGGUUGAGAGACCGACCGGCCACAUUGGGACUGAGAUACGGCCCAGACUCCUACGGGAGGCAGCAGUGGGGAAUUUUGCGCAAUGGGGGAAACCCUGACGCAGCAACGCCGCGUGCGGGACGACGGCCUUCGGGUUGUAAACCGCUUUCAGCAGGGAAGAAAUUCGACGGUACCUGCAGAAGAAGCUCCGGCUAACUACGUGCCAGCAGCCGCGGUAAUACGUAGGGAGCGAGCGUUAUCCGGAUUCAUUGGGCGUAAAGAGCGCGUAGGCGGCCUCUCAAGCGGGAUCUCUAAUCCGAGGGCUCAACCCCCGGCCGGAUCCCGAACUGGGAGGCUCGAGUUCGGUAGAGGCAGGCGGAAUUCCCGGUGUAGCGGUGGAAUGCGCAGAUAUCGGGAAGAACACCGAUGGCGAAGGCAGCCUGCUGGGCCGCAACUGACGCUGAGGCGCGAAAGCUAGGGGAGCGAACAGGAUUAGAUACCCUGGUAGUCCUAGCCGUAAACGAUGGAUACUAGGUGUGGGGGGCUCCGCCCUCCGUGCCGCAGCCAACGCAUUAAGUAUCCCGCCUGGGGAGUACGGCCGCAAGGCUAAAACUCAAAGGAAUUGACGGGGGCCCGCACAAGCAGCGGAGCAUGUGGCUUAAUUCGAAGCA